CGACCAGACUCCUACGGGAGGCAGCAGUGGGGAAUAUUGCACAAUGGGGGAAACCCUGAUGCAGCGACGCCGCGUGAGCGAUGAAGUAUUUCGGUAUGUAAAGCUCUAUCAGCAGGGAAGAAAAUGACGGUACCUGACUAAGAAGCCCCGGCUAACUACGUGCCAGCAGCCGCGGUAAUACGUAGGGGGCAAGCGUUAUCCGGAUUUACUGGGUGUAAAGGGAGCGUAGACGGCAGUGCAAGUCUGGAGUGAAAGGCGGGGGCUGAACCCCCGGACUGCUCUGGAAACUGUACGGCUGGAGUGCAGGAGAGGUAAGUGGAAUUCCUGGGGUAGCGGUGAAAUGCGUAGAUAUUAGGAGGAAAACCAGUGGCGAAGGCGGCUUACUGGACUGUAACUGACGUGGAGGCUCGAAAGCGUGGGGAGCAAACAGGAUUAGAUCCCCUAGUA
rnacentral:rRNA from 1 species